rnacentral:tRNA from 1 species
GCACGGAUGGCCAAGUGGCCUAAGGCGCGAGUUCUGGUGGACGAUUGUCCUCGUUGGUUCAAAUCCCACUUCGUGCA